AAAAAAAUAUUAUGGCCUUCAUCAAAGUUUCUGUUUUGUUGUUGCUGCUGUUUGUUGUGCUUGUUGCUCCAAUAGUUGAUGCUGGAGACCUUUCUGGGGUUUCUAAUGAUCAUCACUCUCUUGGUAUACCGAAAAGCUUCUGCUCAAACUGCGAGUGCAAAGGAAAACAUGGAAACAAAAAAUGCUAUCGGACAGACAUGAAGGUUGGCUGUUGCCCAUUGGUUUGCGGGUCAAAUUGUAUGUGUGAUAAAAAGCAACCACCGAUGUGCCAGUGCACAUACGAGGUUGACACAUGCAACCCUAAAGUAUGCAAGGACUGAGAAUCUUCUCCUCAUAAAUAGGCUUGUAAUAUAUUACUACCAAGUCAUAGAAAACUUGGAAUAAAUAAUGAGAGCUUGCGCCCCCAUAUAUGGCCGCAAUUACUAA